AUUGAACGCUGGCGGAAUGCUUUACACAUGCAAGUCGAACGGCAGCACGGGGCAACCUGGUGGCGAGUGGCGAACGGGUGAGUAAUACAUCGGAACGUGCCCAAUCGUGGGGGAUAACGUAGCGAAAGUUACGCUAAUACCGCAUACGAUCUACGGAUGAAAGCGGGGGAUCGCAAGACCUCGCGCGAAUGGAGCGGCCGAUGUCAGAUUAGGUAGUUGGUGGGGGUUAAAGGCUCACCAAGCCGACGAUCUGUAGCUGGUCUGAGAGGACGACCAGCCACACUGGGACUGAGACACGGCCCAGACUCCUACGGGAGGCAGCAGUGGGGAAUUUUGGACAAUGGGCGCAAGCCUGAUCCAGCCAUUCCGCGUGCAGGA
rnacentral:rRNA from 1 species